rnacentral:rRNA from 1 species
GCUUGUCUCAAAGAUUAAGCCAUGCAUGUUCAAACAUAAGUAUUAUAAAGCGAAGUUGCGAAUGGCUCAUUAUAUCAGUUAUAAUAUACUAGAUAGUUUCUCUACAUGGAUAACCGUGGUAAUUCUAGAGCUAAUACAUGCGAAAAGUCGGCGCAAGUCGAUGUAUUUAUUAGAUACAGAAUCAAUACGUGUUCUGCACGUUCUAUUGAUGAAUCAUAAUAACUGUUCGAAUCGCACGGGCAACCGGCGAUAGUUCAUUCAAAUUUCUGCCCUAUCAGCUUUCGACGGUAGUGUAGUGGACUACCGUGGCGUUAACGGGUAACGGAGAAUUAGGGUUCGAUUCCGGAGAGGGAGCCUGAGAAACGGCUACCACAUCCAAGGAAGGCAGCAGG